AACGAACGCUGGCGGCAUGCCUAACACAUGCAAGUCGAACGAGACCUUCGGGUCUAGUGGCGCACGGGUGCGUAACGCGUGGGAACCUGCCCUUAGGUUCGGAAUAACUCUCCGAAAGGGGUGCUAAUACCGGAUAAUGUCUUCGGACCAAAGAUUUAUCGCCUUUGGAUGGGCCCGCGUUGGAUUAGCUUGUUGGUAGGGUAACAGCCUACCAAGGCGACGUUCCAUAGCUGGUCUGAGAGGAUGAUCAGCAACAACGGGACUGAGACACGGCCCCGACUCCUACGGAAGGCAGCAGUGGGGAAUAUUGGAGAAUGGGCCAAAGCCUGAUCCAGCAAUGCCGCGUAAGUGAUGAAGGCCUUAGGAUUGUAAAGCUCUUUUACCCGAGGUGAUAAUGACGGUACCUGGAGAAUAAGCUCCGGCUAACUCCGUG
rnacentral:rRNA from 1 species